GAAUGAUUCAAUUAAGGAGACAAUUGGAUAAUUCUGAAACUGACACUAGAAUGUGCUUCUCUGCCAUUCAUAUAACUUCAUACAAGCGCUACAGAUGAUAUAACAGAAAAACAGAAAGUCAGUACAGUGCUUCAAACAACCUGAAAGCUAAACCAUGAGCACAACCAAGAACCAGACUACAAUAUGGCUUCACCGGGUCUCCCAAUCCUUCAAUUUCUUACCCUUAGGCUUUGCAAUAGGAGCAUUAACAGCAGCCAUUUUUGUAUUGUACUUGGCCCGAAGAGAGUCAUUGUAUGUCCACGGAUUGUUCCAAUCAGUUGUGUCCUCAUUGACAAGAUGUGUCCAUUUUGUCCUUCCACUGCGACCAAAGUGUUUGACCUGCAUGACUUUGGGUAGUAUGGAUUUAUCCAACUUGUCCUCCCCUGUUGGUGCAGAGAAAUCACGGUGGAAUAUAUUAUCAGCGCCAGAAGUUCCAGCUACGUCAUCAGCAUCUGACUGGAAGAAAGCACCCUUGUGGUAAUAUUUCUGCAUAAACUUCCACUUCUGCUUGGGUGGUGGGGCAGGUUUCGGGUUUCUCCUCUCCCACUCCUUCCUCUCUUCUUCCGUCAUAUUUCUUACUCUCUCUAUUUCUUCUCUCUCCUUCUUACUAGCCUCCCUGUCCUCCCUCUCCCUCUUGAUCCUGGCAAUUUCUCUGGACUUCCAAGCUUCGUAUUCUUCAGCCUCAUUCACCUCAUCAUCAGUAUCUACAUCAGCAAUAUUAGCUUCCAGCUCCAAAUUUUUCUGAAUUAUUUCCUCCUCUCGUAUCUUCUCAACUACUAUUUGCUUUGUUUCAAGUUUUCUCUCCUCUAACCUCUUCUUCACUAACUCCUCGAGAGCUCGUUCCUCUGCCUCGCGCUUUUCACGCUCAUCUAUGGUGUCUCGCUCAGAUUUUGGAACAAAAACUGGUUUCACCAUGGCUAUCCCAGUGGUAUCUUCCUCUGAUUCAGUCUCAUAUUCUGAUUCCUCUUCCUCCUCUUCUUCUACCUCCUCUUCUUCUUCCUCCGGCAGAGCUUCUUCUUGUUGCCUCUGAAGAUUUUUUUCCCUGAUUCUCCUCCUCCUUUCAUCCAAGGCAUCUUCGUCAUCCUCCGGCAGAGCUUCUUCUUGUUGCCUCUGAAGAUUUUUUUCCCUGAUUCUCCUCCUCCUUUCAUCCAAGGCAUCUUCGUCA
rnacentral:misc_RNA from 1 species